rnacentral:misc_RNA from 1 species
CCAAACUUGGUCAUUUAGAGGAAGUAAAAGUCGUAACAAGGUUUCCGUAGGUGAACCUGCGGAAGGAUCAUUAUUGAAUAAAUCUGACACGAUUGUUGCUGGCUCUUAGGAGCAUGUGCACGUCUGUCAUUUUUACCUUUCCUCCUGUGCACUUAAUGUAGACCUGGAAUAAAUUGUCGUUGUUUGAAACGGAAGCAGAGACUGACAUGUCCUUAAUGGAUUUGUCUAUCUUUGAAUUAUCCAGGCCUAUGUCUUUAUACACUCCAAUUGAAUGAUUAGAAUGUUUAUAAAUGGCCUUGUAGCCUAUAAAACAUCAAUACAACUUUCAGCAACGGAUCUCUUGGCUCUCGCAUCGAUGAAGAACGCAGC